UUCUAUGGUUGAUGAGUUGAUGUGGAAACAGCAAAGAAACCAGAUAGAGUGGACAAUGAUUUAUGAAAAGAACAAGGAGAGGUGUCCUAUGAACCCAGUGUGGGGAAAAAGUGUUUCAAGAAGGAGGGAAUAUACAACCAGGUCAAAUCUUGCUGUAGUCCAAAUAAGAGCUGGAGCUGAAAGAGAAGGAAAGGGAGCUCCACGAGGAGUUUGAGCACCUGAAGCGGGUCCACCAGGAGGGAGAAGUGCAAGGUGGUGGAAAACCACUAGGAACUGGAGGAGGAGACCAAUGCUUUCAGCUGACUGAAGGCCGCGGUAGAGGCAUUGCAGUCGCAGGCUUUGCAGUUUCACCUUGCAGCAGCCCCUGUGGCAGGCAAGGACAAGAAUCAACACAUGUGCACUUACAUGUCAAGAGUGGACUUUAGACUUUCAUGUGUUCAGUUGCUUGAGUUACACCUUGUGACUCUUCUCUCAUAACACGGUGUGAGGACAGACUGGGAGCUGGUACAGAUUCCAGUGUUUAACAGCCUUGCUUUCCUCUACCCCACCCCAGGUCCAGGUUUCCCUGGGCCUGGCGGGUCACCCCCCUCUAUGCAAACACAUAAAAGCCAUAAAUGCUGGAAUGCAAAACUGAUGAGGUUUCUUCUUCAGAACCAGUGUUUGUUCUCCCAUUUACAGUGUCACUAGUGCUUCAUGGAGGAGUUAGGUGUGAGUCUAGCAAAGACCCCAGCCCAUGAUACUCAGCCUAACUCCCCAAUGUGGCCACAGCAGCUCAUGUGGUGCCAUAGGUGCAGCUG
rnacentral:lncRNA from 1 species